UCCCUCUAGUGCGGUCUGUUUCUGGCUUCUAUCUCUCUCAGGUAAACAUCAGAGCCUGUUCCGGCAUUGGACCUCUGGGCUCAGCCAUCUGAGCCCCCUCCAAGCCCAGGGGGCUGCCUGCGGAAGGAGAAUCCAUUGUCUGCCCCUUCCUGUCCCAGGUGCCCACACCUUUGGGCUGCUGAGAUACAUCUGUGGUGGCAUUUGGCUGUGGCACAUGAGAGGGUCUUUGUGCCCCAACCCCGCCAGGCUCCACCACGUUUUGGGCAGAGGCAAAGAAACCUGAGGAAUUGCUGUCUACCCAUUCGGUCGCAAGGCUGGGGACAUUCAAGGGCUGAGGACGCAGUUUCUGUCUCCUGUCGGAAGGAGCAACAGAGCCUUGCAUCUGAACUGUGGCUGUGAGCUUCCUGUUUCCUGUCCUUGCCUGAAAUCUGCACAACUUCUCUACCUCAGACAUGAGACUCUCUGAAAGUCCCCUGGGAGCCAAGGAUGAUAGAUUCACUUGCCCAGUGCUGGGCAGAUGUGCACAACAUAAUUCAUGGGUAGAGCUGGAACAAAGGGGUCAGAAUUGCUCCGAGCAUGGCCUUGCAUCUGAACCUGGCUCUGCCACACAGCGGUUGGAGCACCUUGCUCAGUGCGUCCAUCAGGAUAUGUAAGGUUCUGCUCCAGGAAGAGACAAAACCAAAACCAAAUUGCAGUUAUUUGUCAACAAAGACUUUAGCUCCAUCACACUGUGUGCCUCCACAGAUUUUUUUUUUUAAUCGAUGAAUACUAUCUGAGCACCCUCUGGCAGGCACUGUGUCAAAUUAUGCAACUUUUUUUUUUUUUGGUACUGGGGAUCGAACUUGGAACCUUGUGCUCACGAGGCAGGAAGUGGAACCACUGAGCUAAAUCCCCGGCCUGCAACUUUACUUUUAAUGGGAGUGUCUUACUUACUUUUCUCCUUGCUGAGACAAACUACCAGACACUCAAAGGAGGAAAAGUUUAUUUGGCUUAGAGUCUGUAGAGGUUUCAGUUUAUAGUUGGCUGACUCCAAGGAGGGUAGCAUGGCAGAGGGACAUCACGGAGGAGAAACAAUUCAUGGUGGGCAGAAGGUAGCAAAGCAAGCAAAAGACCUUAGCAGUUUUUUCUGCACCUUUUCUAACUAGGCUACUAGGAUUAAGGUGAGGCCAAACCAAUCAGUGCACUGAAUUAGUAAUCACCCACCUUAAUCUUAGCAUUGCACCAUGAGUCAAUCACACACUCUAAGUCAGCCACCUCUGAAAGAGCCACAUGUAGGAGGCUUUGAAGGCAUGUCUGGACAAAGCCAUAACAGGGGAAGACAGUAAAUAUGCAUAAUAAAUAAAUUAAGCAACAUGGUAGAAAGUGACACAUUCCAUGCAAAUUGAAGCAGAGAAGGAGAUUAAGGUUGGUGAGUUGGCUUUUUCGCUCCUCGGGUGAGGAUAUCACAGUUUUAAAUAUGGUCAUCAGGGAUGAGGACUACUGAUGACCCUGCUACUGUAGGCUGGGGAUGGGCAGCCUUAUUAUUUUACACUUUUUUUCUUUUUGGUUUUGGGGAUGGGUCUAAAGGAUGCUGUACCUUGAGCAUCAUCUCCACCCUCCCCUUUUUAAUAUUGAGACAGGAUCUCACUAAAUUGUCCAUGUGGGAUUUGAACACAUGAUCCCCCUGCCUCAGCCUCCCAAAGGGCUGGAAUAACAAGCAUGCACCACCAUGUCUGACUAAGACAUUUUCAUUUUAACAGGACUUUAUUUUCAGCAAACAAAGAAACAAACAAAGAGACACACAGGAUGAGACUGAACAGAUGGCAGUGGAACUGAUGCCCCUCUCUGCCCCAGAGGACAGUGGGCUAGGGGUGGGUGCUUGCCAAUUGCCUGAUUUUGCCUCUUUCCAACUCCCAGCCAGGAGAAAGCGGAUGUGGCCCCUACUCAAUCACAUGGGUGCCCCCAGCUUCCCAGGUGGGCUUACCUGCAGCUGCCCAUUUUCCCUACGAGGCCUUCCACAUCCCCAUCUUUGCAUCCCUCUCGACAUGAGUGACAGUGCUGACUCCCUGCCCUUCUUUUCUACAGGGGGACAGAGGCGCCCUGAGACGGGACCCAGACUCAUCUCCUGGUUCUUAGAAUCUGUGUGUCCCCCUCUUCAGUUGAGAGAAAACAGGCAUUUUUGUCUCCCGCCUUUGGCCUCAGAUUGUGAUGGAAAGGCCAGCAGGGGUGCUCUGAAAAGUCCAGCUUCCUCUCCUGGCCGGAGGAGCCUGACUGCACCGGCCAUGUUAAGAAACCUGAGGAAUUCCUAAGGGUCUUAAAGACACAGUGAGGCUGCAAAUUGGUCUCUGGAGCCCUGCCUUUCCCCUGUGAAGCUGCUCUUCCUCCCACCGACCUUGGUGAACAGUGUAUCUCAGGUUCCAGCACCGGGAAAUGGUUUGUGUUCUGGCCCACCCCACCAGAUGGGCACCCUGACAGGAACACACAUCCUAGAUGACCCAAGACCAUGGGAAAACCCUCAACUCCAGACCACACUGCCUCUCUCUGGAGGGCUCGCCCUCUAUUCUAUUCCCACUAUUCUGAGUUAUACUUUUAAAUUCUGCCGAAUAAACCUCGUUAUGCUUCCUGUCUCUGCUUUGGGGACCUCUUCAGGCUAUCUCUGUGGGUGUCCUCUCUCAGUGGCUCAAACUGGGGCUUCCCUGGUUGGGAAAUGGUCUCUGAGGAUCCCAGGGUGUGGGAGCUCUGAGGGAAGCAGCCCUGUUCCCCCCACCCAUGCCAGCUCUGAUUGACAAGAGGGACCCUGGGUGCUUCUGAGGCAGGUGGCACAGUGGGUAGGAGCCCAGACACAGCGCCGAGUUGCCAGGUGUAGUGAAUUCUUAGAACUGUGUUGCCUUGGCAUCUGCUUUGACUGUAGUUGAAUUCUUUUGUGGCCAGAGUGGAGCUCAGUCACCCAUGUGACCCGAUUUCUAGUCCCCACCUCCUUCCAGCUCCUCAAGGUGGUCAGUCUGUGUCUCCUGAUGGCCACGUCUGUGAGGGACAGCUAGACAAACCUGCUUGAUGCACCCCACAGACCCCAUACCUUGCAGGACACACAGACGAACAGUCACAGUGCUGUCGGGUAGUUCCUUUAAAAAUGGCUCGCCAAACAAAAGUAUUCCAGGUCCUUUUCGUCUUGAACAAAGAAUGGGAUGAGACCAGCCAAAAACAGUGUCAAAGGUUUAUUUCAGCGGUGAGGGGUGAAGGGGUAAGGGAAAAACAAAAGAAAGGAUAAAAGUAAAAAUAAAAGUUCAGGAGACACAGGGAAGGCUACCAUGAAGAAUCACAAUAGCGGGAUCCUCAUGUCAUCUUGUCUCUUUAUGUUGUCUACAUCUGAUGAGAACCUGUGAGAAGUUUUACAUACAGCAUCCUGGGAAUUAUUUGACACUGUCCUGGGAUCUUGUAAUUGGCAGGUCCUGCCUUAUUUUUCCAGCCAGCUCUGCCACGCCCACCUCCUAUGUCCACAGUGUUAGUCCACCCAGCUCAUGCCUGAUUGGUGCCCUAAACCCACCAAUCAGAGCUCCUAUGGGAAUCCCCCCUGGAGAACAUCCUGAACCCAUAGAGAGUUCUGGUCCACAGGUCCCUCUCUCCUCUCCCUGCCCCCUUCCACUGGUGGAGCUUCUGCUAUCUCUAGACUUCCUGGGGGCCCUCCAGGGUCCCUUCCUCUCUCAGCUUUGGUGAGCUGCCUCAUGCUGAAGCAGGACUUAAAGAAAGACAACUUCCCGGCCUUGGGCAAUCCCCUCCCCCACUUUGGGUCGCCCCCUCGCCCUUGUAGCUGUAACUCCUUGUUCUGGUACAAGGUGAUAAAAUUGACAACCAUGUCCUAUAAACAAAGUUUAUUGUCAGGUAAAAGGGCCGAAGACCAAGACCAGACCAGGCCACAACAAGCCUUUAUUAGGGGGCU